GAUGAACGCUGGCGGCGUGCCUAAUACAUGCAAGUCGAGCGAACAGACGAGGAGCUUGCUCCUCUGACGUUAGCGGCGGACGGGUGAGUAACACGUGGAUAACCUACCUAUAAGACUGGGAUAACUUCGGGAAACCGGAGCUAAUACCGGAUAAUAUCUUGAACCGCAUGGUUCAAUAGUGAAAGACGGUUUUGCUGUCACUUAUAGAUGGAUCCGCGCCGCAUUAGCUAGUUGGUAAGGUAACGGCUUACCAAGGCGACGAUGCGUAGCCGACCUGAGAGGGUGAUCGGCCACACUGGAACUGAGACACGGUCCAGACGCCUACGGGAGGCAGCAGUAGGGAAUCUUCCGCAAUGGGCGAAAGCCUGACGGAGCAACGUCGCGUGAGUGAUGAAGGUCUUCGGAUCGUAAAACUCUGUUAUUAGGGAAGAACAAAUGUGUAAGUAACUAUGCACGUCUUGACGGUACCUAAGCAGAAAGCCACGGCUAACUACGU
rnacentral:rRNA from 1 species